rnacentral:rRNA from 1 species
GACGUAGGGAGCAAGCGUUGUCCGGAUUUACUGGGCGUAAAGAGCGCGUAGGCGGCUCGUUAAGUGUGAAGUGAAAUCUCCAGGGCUCAACCCGGAAACUGCUUUACAUACUGGCGAGCUUGAGGGAUGUAGAGGUAACUGGAAUUCCUGGUGUAGCGGUGAAAUGCGUUGAUAUCAGGAGGAACACCCAUGGCGAAGGCAGGUUACUGGACAUCAUCUGACGCUGAGGCGCGAAAGCGUGGGUAGCAAACAGGAUUAGAUACCCUGGUAGUCCACGCCCUAAACGAUGGAUACUAGACGUGAGAGGUAUCGACCCCUCUCGUGUCGCAGCUAACGCAUUAAGUAUCCCGCCUGGGGACUACGGCCGCAAGGUUG